CAGGGAGGUUGCAGUGAGCCGAGAUGGCGGCAGUACAGUCCAGCUUUGGCUCGGCAUCAGAGGGAGACCGUGGAAAGAGAGGGAGAGGGAGACCAUGGGGAGAGGGAGAGGGAGAGGGAGAGGGAGGAGAGGGAGAGGGAGAGGGAGAGGGAGAGGGAGAGGGAGAGGGGGGGCGAUCUGACAUUUUUGCUCUCAGAUGAAACAUGAUAAAGGAAGCCAAGCUGCCAGGAUUCCUGGAGGGGACCUUGGGUGCUGGGUCUUGGGCUCCAGGGCCCUAAUGGGACUGAACCAGAAGGAGCCAGGGAAGGGCAAACACUGGGACUGAGGCCCUAGGACCCAAUGGCCAUUGGUGGCCAGACCUUAUGGCCCCAACAUACCCUGUCCUCAGGCCACAGACAUCAUGGGCUUCAGUCAGGUCCCAGCCUCCCAGUAGUGUCCUGGUACUAGCAGGUGCUGACCCCUGAGCCACGACCAUAGUUCUGGGUUUUGGGUUUUGGUAAAACCACCUCAGGGACAGAGUUCUGGGGUUGGGUUUGGCAGGAACCAUGGUGCCUCCCAGGGAUGGUGUGUCACUCCUACUUGCCACAAAAUGUGCACAAAGGCUGUCCCACUGUCCAGCCCAUCCUGCUGGACAGGAUGGAGGAAGUCAGGGAACAGGUAGGGUGGACAUCUGGGGUGCAGGGAGAGGCAGCCCAUAGACUGUGACCAUCUAUCCGGCCACUCUGGCCCUUCCUUUACCUUUGUCCUGUCAGAAUCUCUGAGCAAGAUCUCCCAGGUCCAUCCAAACACCUGCUUUGUCCAGUUUUGACUGGGCCUUUGGGCACUACUGGGCCAUCCUGACUGUCCACAGCGCCCUCGAUAACGUGCAUUGCACCUGACAUCUCCCAGCAGUGCUCAGCAGCCCCCGCUGACCAGGUCCCUGCUGACCAUAUCCCGCACAUCAGGUCCUUCCUGACCACACCCUCACUGAUUAGAACCCCAUGACCAGACCCCACUAACCAGGCCCUUGCUGCUAGGCCCACAGUGUCCAGGACCCCACUGACCAGGACCUUACUGACCAGGGCCUCACUGACCAGGUCCUUACUGACUAGGCCUCACUGACCAGGUUCCACUGAUCGUGACCCCAAUGCCUGGCACCACAGAUGAGGCCCCACUGACCAGGCCUCCAGGGAACAGGCUGCCACUGAUCAGGCCCCUAUUAACCAGGCCGUAGGGGACCAGAUGCCCCUGACUGUGACCCUAGUGAGUAGGCCCCACUGAAUAGGCACCCACUGCUCAGAUCCCUGCUGACCAGGUCACCCCACAGACCAGAGCUACAAGAGCCACCACAGAAUGUGCUCUCUCUGAACAGGCCCCCACUGAUUAGGUUCCACUGACCAGGCUGCGCUGACCAGGGCCCCACUGACAAGGGCCUCACUGGUGAGGACAUGGCCAGCAGGCCCUGCUGACUGGGUCCCAUGUGACCAGGCCUCCACUGAAUAGCACCCCUUGAGCUGGUCACCAGUGACCCAGCCCAUGCUGACAAGGCCACCACUAAGCCCCAGCUGACCAGGUCUCCAUUGACAAAGUCCUGCAGCCUAGUUUUUACACUGACCAGACACCAAACAAGUGGCUGCCACUAGGUCCCCACUCACCAAGACCCCACUACUAGGUCCCCCUAAUGAGACCCUCUCUAAGUAGACCCCUGCUGACCACGCCCCCAAUAAAUAGGCCUCACUGACCAAGUCCCAGCUGACUAGGUCCACUGAUGAGGCCCACACUGAUCAGGGCCCUCAUAACCAUACCAGAAGGCCAAGCGACAAUGAGAUAUUUCAUAUGGCAGAAGUAGGAGCAAGACAGAGAGAGAAAGGAGGUGCCACAUCCUGUUAUACAACCAGAUCUCAUAAGAACUCACUAUCAGGAGAUCAGCAUCAAGAAGAUUAACCAUUGGUGAAGGAACCACCACCCACACCACCGCCCACUGUUUGCAGGCAGAAGCCUCCUGCAGAGGCAGAGACUCUUGGGAAACUUCUACCAUGGCGGUGCAGAAGGGAAAUAUGGGCUUGGAGCCCCCACACAGGAGGUCACCAUCCUCCAGACCCCAGAUUCAUAAGCCCACCAACAGUUCACACCCUCAGUAUGGAAAAGCUAUACGCACUCCACACCAGCCUAGCCCAUGAGAGAAGACAUGGGGGCUGAAGCCUGCAACGCUGCAGGUGCACUGCCCUAGCAGAGGUUUCCCAUGAGCCUCUGCCUCUGAAGCAGACUACUCCCCCUUCCUACUACCCACCACCCUCCCACCACCCUACUGCCAACCUACUUCCCACACUACCCACCCCUUUUCCUUCCAACCCCAACCUCCUCCUGCCAUGAUUAAAUCACCUCCCACCAGGCCCCACCUCCAACAUUAAGGAGUACAUUCCACAGGAGUUUUGGAAAAGAAACACAGCCAAACCAUAUUAUUCUGACCCUGAUACCCCAGAAUCUCAUGUCCUUCUCACAGAGCAAAAUACAUUCAUGCCUUGUCAAAAGUUUCCAAAAGUCUUAACUCAUUCCAGCAUUAACUCAAAUGUAAAAACUUCAACAUCUCAUCUGAGACAAGUCUACAGUCCCUUUCACCUAUGAGUCCCUGAAUUUAAAAGGAUGUUCUUUUCUUUCAGGGUACAAUGAUGGUACAGGCAUUGGGUAAGCUUUCUCAAUUGAAAGGGAAGAAAUUUCCCAGGAAAAAACCACAAAUAGAACCACACGCCCAAUGCAAGUCCAAAACCCAGGAGGCCAGUAUCCAUUCAAUCUCACAGCUCCAAAAUCACGAAGAGAACUCACUAGCAUAAGCACAGCAAUAAGGAGAUGGUGUUUAAUCAUUUGUGAAGGAUCCACCCCCCCACCACCACUUUUCACCCCUCACCCCCACCAUAAUCCCCUCAUUCUCCCUACCCCCCACCUUCCAACCCUCACUCUCCACCAUGAUUAAAUCACCCUCCACCAGGCCCCACCUUUAACUUUAUUAUUCUGUCCCUGGCUCCCAAAUCUCAUGUCCUUCUCACAUUGCAAAAUAUAAUGAUGCCUUCCCUACAGUCCCCCAAAUCUUGUAUCAUUCCAGCAUUUAUACAAAUGUCCAAAGCUUAAAGUCUCAUCUGACACAAGGCUACAGUCCCUUAGGUACAAGAGCCUCUGAACUAUAAAGCAAGUUAACUACUUCCAAGGUACAAUGCUUCUGCAGGCAAUGGGUAAGCAUUCUCAACUGAAAGGAAGAAUUUUGCCAGAAAGAACAAAACACAUACAGGUCUUACAGGCCCCAUGAAACUCCAAACCCAGAAGGCCAGUCAUUCAAUCCUACAGUUCCAAAAUCACCCUUUUUGAAACGUUGUCCCACAUCCAGGGCACAGGGACAUGAGGGCUGGGCUCUGAAGGCCUUGGGCAGCCCUGCACCUGUGGCUUUGCAGGGUUUAUGCCCCACAGCUGCCCCCAUGGGCUGGGCGGGUGUGGAGUGCCUAUAGCUUUUCCUGACUGAUGGUACAAGCUGUUGGUGGGUCUAUGAAUCUGGGGUCUGCAUGAUGGUGGCCUCCAGUGUGGGGGCUCCAACGCCAUAUUUUCCUUCUGCACUGCCCUAGUAGAGGUUUCUUAUGAGGCUCUGCAUUUUUGGGAUGCUUUUAUCUGGUCACCUAGGCAUUUCCAUACAUCUUCCAAAGUCUACAGAGAGGCUCCCAAGCCUCUAGUCUCAUGAUCCAUCCACCUAGUGGCUUAACACUAUGAGGAAAUUACCAAGGCUUCUAGCUUGCACCCUCUGAAGCAGUGACCCAAGCUGCAUCUGUGCAUUUUCAGCCAUGGCUGGAGCUGGAGCUGCAGGGACGCAGGCAGCAGUGCCCUGAGGCUGCACAUAGAGCGGAGCCACAGGACUGGCCCAAGAAACCAUUCUUCUCUCCUAGGUCCCAGGGCCUGUGACAGCAAGGGCUGCUGCAAAGGUCUCCAAAAUGCCGUCAAGGGCUUUUCCCUAUUGUCUUGGCUAUUAGCACUGGGCUCCUUUUCAUGCAAGUUUCUGAAGCCUUCCUGAAUUUUUCCCCUGAAAUUCAGCUUUUCUUUUUGACCACUUGGCCAGGCUGCAAAUUUUCCAAACUUUUGAGUCCUGUUUCUCAUUUAAUGUAAGAGUUGGGACUCAUUUAAUAUAAGUCCCAUCCAGAGGUCAUUUUCGCAGUCACACAUCACAGCACAGGCUGUUCGAUGCAGACAAGACACCUCUUGAGCUUUGCUUCCUAGAAGUUCAUUCCACCAGAUAUGCACUAAGUCAUCACCUUCAAGUUUAAAGUUUCACAGAUCUCCAGGGCAGGGUCACCAUGCAGCCAUGUUCUUUGCUACAGCAAAACAAAAGUAACCUUGGCUUCUGUUCCCAGUAAGUUCCUCAUUAUUAUCUGAGACCUUCCAAGUCUGGUUUUCACUGACCAUUUUCCUGUUAGCCUUCUGAUCACAAGUAGUUAACAAUUCUUUACAAAGAUCCAAACUUUUCCUCAUUUUCCUGUCUUCGAAGCCCUCCAAACUCUCCUGGUCUCUGUCUGUCACCCCCUUCUGAAACUGCUUCUACAUUAUCAGCUAUCUUUGUCGCAGCCUGGCAAUGUGGUAAAGGAAGACAAGUCCAUUUUCAGGGAGAAAAUUCAAGAAGGUCUCAGAUACUUGAAUGAAAAGAAGCAGAGUGCUGAUUGCCAAGACAAUAGGGAAAAGGUCUUGAAGACAUCCACUUCCCAGUACUAAUUUUCUCUAUGAUCAUAAAGAACCUCAUGAUUCUGCAGGCUGUAAGGAAACAUACUGGCUUCUGAAUCUGGGAGGACUCAGGAAGCCUCCCAAUCGUACCAGAAUGUCAAGGGGCAAUGGGAUGAUUCACGUGGCAGGAGUAGGAGCAAGACAGAGAGAGGAAAGAGGUGCCAUGCCCUAUUAUACAAGCGGAUCUCAUGAGAACUCACAAGGUCAGCAUCAAAAAGAUGGUGCUUAACCAUUGGUGAAGGAUUUGCCCCCCACCCCCAACUCCCACUGUUUCCAGGCAGAAGCCUGAUGUAGAGGCAGAUCCUCUUGGAAAACGUCUACUAGGGAAGUGUGGAAGGAAAAUAUGGGCUUGGAGCCCCCACGCAGAUGGCCACCAACCUCCAGACCCCAGAUUCAUAGACCCACCAACAGCUCACACCCUCAGUGUGAAAAAGCUAUGGGUAGUCAACACCGGCCCACCCCAUGAGAGCAGCCACAGGGGCUAAACCCUGUAAAGUCACAGGUGCACUGUCCUAGUAGAGGUUUUCCAUGAGCCUCUGCCUCUGCAGCAGGCUACUCCCCCUUCCUACUACCCACCACCCUAUGGCCAGCCUAUUCCUCCCCACCCUCCCCGCCCCUUUUUCCUUACACCCCCACCCUCCUCCCAUCCAGGAUUAAAUCACCUCCCACCAGGCUUCACCUCCAAAAUUCAGGAUUACACUUCCACAGAGUUUUUCUAGGGAAACACAGCCAAACCAUAGUAUUCCGAACUUGACCCUUCCAAAUCUCAUGUCCUUCUCACAGGGUAAAAUACAAUCAUGCCUUUUCAAAAGUUUCCAAAAUCCUUAACUCAUUCCAGCAUUAACUCAAAUAUAAAAAGUUCAAAGUCUCAUCCGAGACAAGGCUACAGUCUCUUAUGCCUAUGAGUCUCUGAAGUUAAAAUGGAGUUCAUUUCUUUAAAGGUACAAUGAUGACACAGGUAUUGGGUAAGCUGUCUUAAUCCAAGGGGAAGAAAUUUCCCAGAAAAAUAACACAAAUGGGACCAGAGGCCCAAUGCACAUCCAAAACCCAGCAGAACAGUAUUCAUUCAAUCUCACCACCACAAAAUCAUGAAGAGAACUAUCACAAGGACAGUAUUAAGGAGAUUGUGUUUAACCAUUUGUGAAGGAUCUGCCCCCCACCCGCCUUUCACCCCCAACCCCACCACAAUUUUCCCCAUUUCGCCCCACCACCCCCACCUUCCAACCUCCACUCUCCACCACGAUUAAAUCACCUUCCACCUGUCCCCCACCUUUAACAUUUCCCAUUACAAUUCCACAUCAGUGGGACACAGAGCCAGAUCAUAUUCUUCUGUCCCUGCCCCUGCAAAUCUGUCUUUCUCACAUUGCAAAAUACAAUGAUGCCUCUCCUACAGUCCCCCAAAUCUUAACUCAUUCCAGCAUUUACUCAGAUGUGUAAAGCCCAAAGUUUCAUCUGAGACAAGGAUACAGUCCCUUCUGCCCAUAAGUCUCUGAAUUAUAAAGCAAGUUAACUACUUCCAAGGUACAAUGAUUGUACAGGCAAUGGGUAAGCACUCCCAGCCAACAGAAGAAAAAUUGCCAGAAACAAAAACAAAACACCGAUGGGACUCACAGGAUACAUGAAUGUCCAAAACGCAGUAGGCCAGUCAUUCAAUCCUACAGCUCCAAAAUCAUCCUUUUGGAAUCCUUGUCCCACAUCCAUGGCACAGGAGUGUGAGGGCUGGACUCCAAAGGCUUUGGGCAGAUCUCCACCUGUGGGUUUGCAGUGAUCAGUCCCCGCAGCUGCCCUCAUGGAUGGGGCUGGUGUUGAGUGUCUGUAGCUUUCCCACAUUGAGGGGGCAAGCUGUUGGUGGGUCUAUGAAUCUGGGGUUUGAAGGAUGGUGCCUCCCUGUGUGAGGGCUUCAACCUGAUACAUCCCUUCUUUCCUGCCCUAGUAAAGGUUUCCCAUGAGGCUCUGCCUCUUGGAAAGGCUUCUGCCUGGACACCCAGGCUUUUCUGUACAUCCUCUGGAGUCUAGACAGAGGCUCCCAAGCCUCUAGUCUCUUGCUCUGUGCACCUCCUGGCUUAACACUAUGUGGAAGCCAUCAAGGCUUGGAGCCACCUCUGAAGCAGUGACCCAAGCUGUACCUGUGCAUCUUUCAGCCAUGGCUGGAGCCGGAUCUGCAGGGAUGCAGGCAGCAGUGUCCUGAGGAUGCACACAGCAGCCAGGCCAUGGAGCUGGCCCAGGAAACAAUUCUCUCCUUGUCCCCAGGGCCUAUGACAGCAAGGGCUGCUGCAAAGGUCUCUGAAAUGCCUUCAAGGCCUUUUCCCCAUAGUCUUGGCUAUUUGCACUGGGCUCUUUUUUUAUGCAAAUACUUUAAGUGCUCUUGAAUUUUCCCCCUGAAAAUCAGCUUUCCUUUUUGACCACUUGGCUAGGCUGCAAACUUUUCAAAUUUUUGAGGUCUACUUCUCAUUUAAAUAGAAGUUGCAGCUUGAGGUAAUUUCUCAGGUCACACAUAAGAACACAGGCUGUUGGAUGUAGAGAGGACACCUCUUGAGCUAUGCUGCCUAGAUGCUCAUUCCACCAGAUACAUCCUAAAUCGUUACUCCCAUGUUCACAGUUUCAGAGCUCUCCAGGGCUAAGGCCAAUCAAAUGUAACCUUGGCUCUUGUUCACAAGAUGUUCCUCAUUUUCAUCUGAGACCUUUUAAUUCUGGCCUUCACUGUCCAUCUUUCUGUCCUUCUGAUCACAAGUAUUUAACAAUUAUUUUCAGUGGUCCAAAAUUUUCCUCAUCAUGCUGUCUUCUAAGUGUUCCCAACUCUUCUGACCUCUCUUUUUUACCCACUUCUGAACCUGCUUCUACAUUCUCAGAUAUCUUUGUCACAGCCUGGUAAUGUGGUAAAACAAGAAAAGUCCAUUUUCAGGGGAAAAAUUCACAAAGGCUUCAGAUAUCUUCAUGAAAAGAAGCUGAGUACUGGUUACCAACACAAUGGGGAAAAGGCCUUGAAGGCAUUUCAUAGCUCCACUUCACAGCACUAAUUUUGUGUACAAUCAUAAAGAAAGAGGUGUAAUUGGCUCACGGUUCUGCAGGCUGUAAAGGAAGCAUAGUGGCUUCUGCUUCCGGGAGGACUCAGGAAGCCUCCCAAUCAUACCAGAAGGCCAAGGGGCAAGGAAAUGCUUCAUGUGGCAGCAGUAGAAGCAAGACUGAGAGAGGAAAGAGGAGCCCGCCCUGUUAUACAACCAGAUCUCAUGAGAACUCAGUAUCACAAGGUCAGCAUCAAGAAGAUGGUGCUUAACCACUGGUGAAGGAUCUGCCCCCGCAACCCCCACCUCCACCUCCCACUGUUUCCAGGCAGAAGCCUGCUGCAGAGGCAGAGCCAGAUUCAUAGACCCACCAACAGCUUGCACCCCCACUGUGGAAAAGCUACAGGCACUCAACAGUAG
rnacentral:lncRNA from 1 species